AUUGAACGCUGGCGGCGUGCCUAACACAUGCAAGUCGAGCGGUAACAGGUGUAGCAAUACAUGCUGACGAGCGGCGAACGGGUGAGUAAUGCUUCGGAAUCUACCCAAUGGUGGGGAAUAACCAGCCGAAAGGUUGGCUAAUACCGCAUACGUCCUACGGGAGAAAGCAGGGGAUCGUAAGACCUUGCGCCAAUGGAUGAGCCGAAGUCGGAUUAGCUAGUUGGAGGGUAACGGCCUACCAAGGCGACGAUCCGUAGCUGGUCUGAGAGGACGACCAGCCACACUGGGACUGAGACACGGGCCCAGACUCCUACGGGAGGCAGCAGUGGGGAAUAUUGGACAAUGGGGGAAACCCUGAUCCAGCGACGCCGCGUGUGUG
rnacentral:rRNA from 1 species